rnacentral:misc_RNA from 1 species
CGGUAACACCGAUAGCCCGAAGGGCGUGCUUCUCGCCUCCGUAUUACGUAGUGCCGAUCGAGGAUUCCCUAGCGGAAAAUAACGGGCAUGGAACGUCGCCACCACCCCCGUUCAAUCCGGCGUUCACCGAUCCCGCGGAAAACCGUGAAACGAACGUAACGGAAAACGUGACGACGGUGGAACAGGAACCGCAACGCGAUCCGUAUCUAGGCAUGAUCGAACCACCGAGGAACGCCUGCUGCACAGCGAUGAAAAUGUGGCUGACGAUCGCCAUCACCGUUAUAAGCGUCGCCAUAAUUAUAAGAGUUCACCAGCAAACGGUGAAAAGACUCCUGAGGAUGGACGGUUGGCGCGACGAGUCCGGCUGGUCGGAGGACGCCCCCUAAUUUUCCGGUGAUCGACGUCCCUUCGAUGCGAGAAUUCUCAACGGUUCGGAGUCUCUCGCGGUCGGUUCGUAGAAAAUUCGGCUCUCCGACGCGAUCAAAACUGCGGUCGGGGUUUCGGAGGGACUGGGAAAGGG